rnacentral:rRNA from 1 species
UACGGGGGGGGCAAGCGUUGUUCGGAAUUACUGGGCGUAAAGGGCUCGUAGGCGGCCAACUAAGUCAGACGUGAAAUCCCUCGGCUUAACCGGGGAACUGCGUCUGAUACUGGAUGGCUUGAGGUUGGGAGAGGGAUGCGGAAUUCCAGGUGUAGCGGUGAAAUGCGUAGAUAUCUGGAGGAACACCGGUGGCGAAGGCGGCAUCCUGGACCAACUCUGACGCUGAGGAGCGAAAGCCAGGGGAGCAAACGGG